AUUGAACGCUGGCGGCAGGCCUAACACAUGCAAGUCGUGCGAGCGGCGGACGGGUGAGUAAUGUAUGGGGAUCUGCCUGAUGGAGGGGGAUAACUACUGGAAACGGUAGCUAAUACCGCAUAACAUCAGAUCAAACCAUAUGGGAUUAGCUUGUUGGGGGUGUAACGGCUCACCUAGGCGACGAUCCCUAGAUGGUCUGAGAGGAUGAUCAGCCACACUGGGACUGAGUCACGGCCCAGAAUCCACCGGGAGCAAGCAGUGGGGAAUAUUGCACAAGGGGCGCAAGCCUGAUGCAGCCAUGCCGCGUGUAUGAAGAAGGCCUUCGGGUUUUAAAGUAAUUUCAGUCGGGAGGCGUUACCGACAGAAGAAGCACCGGCUAAAUCCGUGCCAGCGGCCGCGGUAAUAC
rnacentral:rRNA from 1 species